rnacentral:sRNA from 1 species
ACAACAAUCUUAUGGAUGGGCAUCGCUUUUAGAUGGCAUUGCACUUUUAAAAAAAGGAACAAGACAUUUGAUUGGUGAUGGACAGAAUAUUCGUAUCGGAUUGGAUAAUAUUGUGGACUCUCAUCCUCCUAGACCGUUAAAUACAGAAGAAACAUAUAAGGAGAUGACAAUUAAUAACUUGUUCGAACGUAAAGGCUCCUACUACUUCUGGGAUGAUUCUAAAAUUUCUCAAUUUGUCGACCAAAGCGAUCAUGGAUUCAUACACCGUAUCUACCUUGCUAAGAGUAAAAAACCAGACAAAAUUAUUUGGAAUUACAAUACAACGGGAGAAUAUACGGUUCGUUCUGGCUAUUGGCUCCUUACUCAUGAUCCGUCCACAAACAUUCCCGCCAUAAACCCUCCUCAUGGUUCGAUCGAUUUGAAAACCAGAAUCUGGAAUUUGCCAAUCAUGCCGAAAUUAAAACACUUCCUUUGGCGAGCCCUAUCUCAAGCUCUUGCUACAACUGAGAGGUUAACUACUAGAGGAAUGCGUAUAGAUCCUAGUUGUCCUCGUUGCCAUCGGGAAAAUGAAUCGAUUAACCAUGCUCUCUUUACUUGCCCUUUCGCAACAAUGGCUUGGCGGUUAUCAGAUUCGUCACUCAUUCGUAAUCAACUUAUGUCAAACGACUUUGAAGAAAACAUCUCCAAUAUCUUGAACUUUGUCCAGGAUACCACAAUGUCAGAUUUCCAUAAGCUUCUCCCGGUUUGGCUCAUAUGGCGAAUAUGGAAGGCAAGAAAUAAUGUAGUAUUCAAUAAGUUCAGAGAAAGCCCGUCAAAAACUGUUUUAAGUGCAAAGGCUGAAACACAUGAUUGGCUCAAUGCAACACAAAGCCAUAAGAAAACACCAUCACCGACUCGACAAAUUGCAGAGAAUAAAAUAGAAUGGAGGAAUCCACCUGCCACAUAUGUAAAGUGUAAUUUUGAUGCUGGUUUCGAUGUACAGAAGUUGGAAGCUACAGGAGGCUGGAUCAUCAGAAAUCAUUACGGGACACCAAUUUCAUGGGGUUCAAUGAAGUUGGCUCAUACGAGUAAUCCGCUUGAGGCAGAAACCAAAGCUCUUUUGGCGGCUUUACAACAAACCUGGAUUCGAGGAUACACACAAGUAUUCAUGGAAGGCGAUUGUCAGACGCUAAUUAACUUGAUUAAUGGGAUUUCGUUUCACAGUUCCUUAGCAAAUCACCUGGAGGACAUCAGUUUUUGGGCAAAUAAAUUUGCAAGCAUUCAGUUUGGUUUUAUUAGGAAAAAGGGAAACAAAUUAGCUCAUGUCUUAGCGAAAUAUGGUUGUACUUAUUCUACCUUUUAUUCUGAUUCUGGUUCUUUACCUAUUUGGCUUGAUCGAUACUUUUGUAAUGACUCUAAUUGAUUAAUAUAAUUGUUUUGACGUAAAAAAAAAAAAAAAAAAACACUUUCUUAAUAUAUGAUCGAAACGAAACAAGUUUAAAAGAAUCUCCGUCCUUUCGAACUAGUUUUAUUUCAUGUCAUACUUUUUUAAUCAAUGACAUUUUUGUAAACACUAAUCAACUUUCAAGAUAUUUUAAUAAAUGUAAUGUUCAAAUAAUAGUAUAGAUUAAUAAUAGUUUCUUUAUUCAUAAAAAUUAAAUACCUUAUGUAGCCAUUCUCCUAAUUUUUUCUUCCUUUUAUACAUACCAAACUUUUAUUUUCUCCACUAACAAAAAGAAACAAAUUAAUAUUUUCUUACAGUCAACAAUAUAAAUAAUCU